CCUACGGGAUGCAGCAGUGAGGAAUAUUGGUCAAUGGACGCAAGUCUGAACCAGCCAUGCCGCGUGCAGGAAGACGGCUCUAUGAGUUGUAAACUGCUUUUGUACGAGGGUAAACGCAGAUACGCGUAUCUGUCUGAAAGUAUCGUACGAAUAAGGAUCGGCUAACUCCGUGCCAGCAGCCGCGGUAAUACGGAGGAUUCAAGCGUUAUCCGGAUUUAUUGGGUUUAAAGGGUGCGUAGGCGGUCGGAUAAGUUAGAGGUGAAAUCCCGAGGCUCAACUUCGGAAUUGCCUCUGAUACUGUUCGGCGAGAGAGUAGUGGCGGUAGGCGGAAGGUAUGGUGUAGCGGUGAAAUGCUUAGAGAUCAUACAGAACACCGAUUGCGAAGGCAGCUUACCAAGCUACUUCUGACGUUGAGGCACGAAAGCGUGGGGAGCAAACAGGAUUAGAUACCCCAGUAGUC
rnacentral:rRNA from 1 species